GGAAAGAUUCCUGAGUCUAGUGGCCUGCUUCAUUGUUGUUCUUCCUAAGUUUUUAUAAUUUUCCUCUAUCUCAAGAAAUUAAAGCUGGCAUGAUCUCUUACCUCUGUUCUUCUUUCAACACCUGAACCAUUCUCCUCCACCGAGGCCACCUCGUGCCUCUGUUUCAUCAUCUUUAUGCCUGAAGAUGUUCCACUGUGUUCCUCAGAAAGAGAAAACACGCACACAGGAGAUUGAGUGAAGCCAGAGGAAGAAUGUAAUUGGUCAGCAUAGGCCAGGGAACUGGCUCUGUCAAGGUCAAAGGUCUGUCCUUGCCCCAGUCGGCUAUCAUGAGGGCAGAGUCAACUUUCGAGCCUUUUUAUCAAUAAAGAAUGGGAAUUUGCUGUAUGGCUCAGUUAAUCUACCAAUCCUCUGGUCCCUCUACACCACAAGGAGCAACGGAAUCCCUACCCUGGGGGAGUCUUAAUUAAGAGUGGAUCAUGGAGAGCUCGCGUUGAUGUCAACAAAGCAAGAUUUGUGCUCCGGGCAAUCGGGAGAGAAUCAGUUUCCAGCCAGUGAGUUCUCUGAGUCCCAGAGAAGGAAAAGGUCUAGAAUUGAGCAUAUGGGAAGGCUCUGUAGGCCUUUUUACUUUAUUGGAUUUAGCUACGCUCACAUAAUGAAAUUGUUGGGAUUGUUUAAACCUUCUGCAGGGACUUCUGUUAGCAGAGAAGAAACUUGUACUAAAGCCAUAAGAAGAUUGUAUUAUAGAUAUAAUGGAAUCUUUUUUAUCUUUCGCCUGGUUUUCUGUGCAGGGACUGACAUUUUUUUUCUGGGAACCAAGCCAGAGGUCUAUUUAAUUUCUUAAAAUUUCCCAUGGUCACUAAUACUGCCUUCCCCAUGGCAUUUUCA
ensembl:lncRNA